CCGAGUACCGGAGCCUUCGGGUUCCUACUCCCACCCUAUGUUGACUUUGAAUGUUGCUUUGGCGGACCGGUGGUCUCACCGCUGGCCUAGGCUAGAGAGCGUCCGCCAGAGGAUUUUGAACUCUGUUUAACGGUGAAUUCUGAGUCUUGAUAAAUUGAAUCA
rnacentral:misc_RNA from 2 species